rnacentral:lncRNA from 10 species
UGGCCCUGUAGACAGAUGUCCCACUUUGCUGCCCCAUAUUGGCUGGACUCUGAGUAUGACAUCUCUCCUAUGUGCAGAAGUCUGGUUGCCACUGGGAGUAGGUGGGACCAGGGAAAUCUCUGGGACGUGAGUGUGGAGGCCUGUUGGUCUAGACUCUAGACUGUGGAGCUCUGAGCUUUUGUGUCCUCUGGAAGGAAGCUGGGGAAGAAUCCUCUCCAUUGUUAAGUGACGGGGAUAGAAGCUGUCCUGCACAGGAAGUCACGAGGGGGGCGUAUCCCACGAGGAAGGCAGGAGGGGGCGUGCCCCUCACCGGAAAUUAGCAGAGGGGCGUGUCCCACACCGGAAGUCAGAAAGCGGAGCCUUUCUUACACCGGAAGUCAAUGAAGCGGGUCUUUCCUACGCUAAAAACCACUGAGUGGAGUAUUUAGUACACAGGAAGUCGGCCAGAGAAACAUUUCUCAUAUUUGAAGGCCGGAAAGAGGGACAUUUCUGACACCGGAAGUCAGUGAGAGGACUCUUUCCCACACAGGAAGUCAGCUAGAGAGCCGUCUCCCCUCUCUGGAGCCGAGAGAGGCCGGUUUCCCCCACCGUAGCCCACCUGGGAGGAAUUUUCCAGAGAUCACUGUCUGAUGACCCUGUCUUGGAAUUGGAGCCAUGCAAGUUACACUGACCACGUUUGGGUUGGGAUAUUGAGGAGGUUAUGGUUAAAAGCAUACGAUGGGAGAUCAUAUUGUACUUGCGAGUGAGACCCGGCUGGAGGAAUGUUUUAAUUCUUCGGAAAUACCAAGUGGUCUCUAGAUGGGUUUUCACUAUUUUUCCCAGGCUAGUCUCCAACUUCUGGGCUCAAGCGAUCCACCCGCCUUGGCCUCCUAAGUCCUAGGAUUAUAGGUAUGAGCCACUGCGCCUGGCCUUUUUGCCUUUUGAAAGUAUCUGUUGUUAACAAUAUUCAAUUGGGUUGAAUCUUGCUAGGGACCAAGGUGAAUUUGCAUAAAUUAGUCUAUGCCAAUUUGCAUACUAUCAGCAAAUUUGUAGUGUACAGAAUUUUGGAAAUAGAAGGAAGCUAAGAGGGGUGUCAAAUGCAGCUUCUUCUUUUUUUACCUGAAAAGAUACCAAAGUCCAGCUCAGGGAAGGUCACACAGCUAAUUCUUAUCAUGGGGAGACAGACCCAGGGACAUCAUGGUGCCUCCGAGAUUAGUACGGCCCCUCAAACAUCCCCAUUUUCUGUCCCUAGCCCAUUGGAACCCCUUAAAGUUGGUCCCUCGAGCUCGGGUGAUAGCACACAUGAUGGAAAGUAGGCAGGCUUGCCAUUGAAGCUCCAACCUAGCUCUGCACCACAUCAGCUGUGUGACCUUGAGCAAAUCACUUAACCACUCUGAGCAUGGCAUUUGUAAAUGUCAAGGUAGCAACGCCCUCUUUACUGCCCUGUUGUGACAAAUAAGAUAUAUUCCAUAAAUAUGAUCCAUGUAGUAUUAAACUACCAUUUACUGAGUCUCCCCUAUGGAAAGCACUUAGUAGGUGCUCAAAAACUCCUAGUCCUUUCUUCCCCUCUUUCAAUGUGUCACUGCAUCUGGGUAAUUUAUACCCAUUUCCUGUUUUCCUUUGAGAAGUGCAUGUCAUGCUCUGCACAAAAGUGACUCUUAAUGGUGGCAUUUCAAGCAUCAUGGCAGAGUGCUGAGACGCUGAUGAAGAUAUUUUAGGCUGGGGUGCAUGGGGAGCACUCUCAGGGCCUCUCAUGCGCAUCCUGAGCCCUUCCUGUGAACCAGACUGACCCUGGCUUCUGUGCCAUUUUCAUUCCAGCCAAGAAUGUUCUGAAAUGAAGCCAAUAUCUGAAGGAUCUAGGAUGCCUGUUCCCCUCUCUUAUGCUGUCUCGGGGGAUGAUUUAGCCACCAAGAAUUUUCCUUAUGGUUGCAAGAUGAUUAAAAAAAACCACACACUCAGAUGCUUUUCGGAGGUUGACAUUUUUCACAGCCCCUCUUCCUCCUCCAUAGAUUUCCUGGAGGUUCCAUCCAGCUCUGGCUCUAGCUGGCUCCUUGACUCUGGACAAGUCACUUCAUCUCUCCAAGCCUUGUCUAUAAAGUAGGGAUAAUACUCCUUCCCACUUCAGAGAGUCAUUCGGGGAUUAAACUGUGACAUGUAUGUAGCCAAGGGUCCAGCACACACUGACAACUCACCAAAUAUUAGCCAUCACUCCAAACUAAGAAGGCAGGAUUCCGGCUGGGCACGGUGGCUCACGCCUGUAAUCCCAGCACUUUGGAAGGCUGACGCAGGUGGAUCAUGAGGUCAAGAGAUUGAGACCAUCCUGGCCAACAUGGUGAAACCCCGUCUCUACUAAAAAUACAAAAAUUAGCUGGGCGUGGUGGUGCGUGCCUGUAGUCCCAGUUACAGGCUGGGAGGCUGAGGCAGGAGAAUCACUUGAACCUGGGAGGCGGAGGUUUCAGUGAGCCAAGAUUGUGCCAUUGCACUCCAGCCUGGCGACAGAGUGAGACAGAGUGAGACUCCGUUAAAAAAAUAAUAAUAAUAAAUAAGAAAAGAAGGCAAGAUUCCAUUAACUUCCAGAAGGUAGACUGUCUUAAAUAUUGGGCAAUUCCCUUUCCUCCUCUCGGCCUCAGCUUUCCCAUCUGAAAAAUGGGAGUAGGACAAGGGAACUGGAUCGCAGGCAUUGACAUAACUUUCUGUGGUUAUUAAAUAGGGCCCCACAAAGACAGUGUCGGGGACCAAGGAGCUCAGGCCGCCUGCCCCACCUUUGCCACCUGCAAGACUGUAUACUCCAGCCAGUAAGGACCUCACUGUUCUCACUCACUAGUGUGUCCUCAGUCCCAGCCCAGGGACUCUGGCUAGGGGCUGACACUUAAUAAAUCCAUGUGAAUGGAUGCAGGAACUCUGCUCCGAUCUGUUCUAUCUGCUUAGUUUUUGCAUACAAUUUUGUUUGAACAAAGAACCACGUGGUUUAUCUAUCAGUCAGGGCUCAGCAGGAAACACAUGGCACAUAUAUAAUUGGGAUAAUUUGAGGAGAGUUUAGUAAAGGAAUUGUUUACAAAGGUGUGGGCAGGGUGUAGGGAACCCACACAGGAGGGUAUAACUGGGGUCUAGUGUCAGCGGGCGCCAUCAUCAUUCCUAGGCCAGAUGAGGGAAGGUUAAGAGUUAAUGGCCGGGCGCAGUGGCUCAAGCCUGUAAUCCCAGCACUUUGGGAGGUCGAGGAGGGCGGAUCACAAAGUCAGGAGAUCGAGACCAUCCUGGCUAACAUGGUGAAACCCCGUCUCUACCAAAAAUACAAAAAAUUAGCCGGGCAUGGUGGCGGGCGCCUGUAGUCCCAGCUACUCGGGAGGCUGAGGCAGGAGAAUGGCGUGAACCCGGGAGGCGGAGCUUGCAGUGAGCCGAGAUCGCGCCACUGCACUUCAGCCCGUGUGACAGAGCGAGACUCCGUCUCAGAGAAAAAAAAAAAAAAAAAAAAGAGUUAAGGGGAGAAGGUGACGAGGUAGACAAGAUCCUUGGCUGAGACCUUCAGUGAAGGGAUGCAGCCAAUCCUCAGAGACCCUGGCAGGCAGGAGCAGGGGGAAUAAGUACGCUGACUCCAUCUCCCCUUCCCCUGAUUUCCUUCUGGGCCUCCAGUUGGCAGAACCAAAUCGGAAGGCGGAGGGCAAGACAGUCCAUUGAAGUCCACAUGGGGAGAAGGGUGGAGAGGCAAUGUGGGGGUUGCGGGGAGCACCAAAAGAAGAUGCCCGACAGAGAUGGCUAGCACCCCCGCCCCCACCGCACAACACACUCACGACACACUCACGACACACUCACGACACACUCACGACACACUCACAACACAGGACCAGAGAGCAGAUCUCUACUUUCUAAGGAUCUUUUCAGGUCUGACCUGCAGAUUCUUCCAUUUUAAAUCAAGGCUAAAAUAUAUUGAGGCUUACUGAGGUCUAGUGGCAGCUCGGAGUUAUCAGUGGGUUGGGUAGUGCUUGCUGCUCUGGAACUAAUGGCACAAUUUUAUUGCAUUUAGGUCAAAUUGUGCCUCAAUUCCAAUGUCGUAUUUUUGGGUCAUGGGUCUCCUCUCUCUUUCUUUUCUAAAUGUGCCCGAGUAUUCCUCCUGGUCCUUUGGGAUGCUGACAGAGGAGCAGAUAUGCAGCAUCUCUGCCAUGAUAUAAGGGCUGCUGCAGUGCACAACUGUCUCCCAAGAAGGUACCGCAGGGGUGUAAAACUUCUCCCUGCAUUGUCAACGCUGGUCUCCAUGGAUGUCUGCUGGCUUUUUCAAAAAUUCUUGUAGAACAGUGCUUCUCAUAUGGUGAUUUUGUCCCCCUUGCCCCAGGGGGACCUUUGGCCAUGUCUUGAGAUGUUUUUGGUUGCCGUGAUUGAGGAGGUGCUACCAGCGUCUGCUGGGCAGAGACCAGGGAUGCUGCUCCACAUCCCACAAUGCACAGGACAAUCUUCUCUACAGCAAUGAAUUAUCCAGUUCACAAUCUCAAUAGCACCAAUAUUGAGAAACCCUGUUGAAGAUGGAGACUAUCCACGGGGCAUUGAUCUUGGGGUCUCCCCCUUCCUGAAUACUUGAAGUCCCUCGGCAGACUCUUGGAUACCUCCAGCAAUGGGGAGCUCACCACCUGUUUUGAAGCCAGGCAGGUUUGGGCUCUUCUUGUAGCUGUGUGACUCUGGAUUUUCCCAUAGGUGGGAGUGGAUCCACCACCUUGAGCUUCAGUUUCCUCCAGUGCCAUGGGAUUAGCAGCAGCCCUGCCUCACAGAUUGCGUGAGGAUGAAAUGAGAUGAUGCUCCUGAGUUGGCUGGUGCAGUGCACGGUACACAGAGAGUGCUCAAUAAAUGUUCCCUGCUGUGAAU